GGGGAAUAUUGGGCAAUGGGCGCAAGCCUGACCCAGCCAUGCCGCGUGAGUGACGAAGGCCUUAGGGUUGUAAAGCUCUUUUGGCGGGGACGAUAAUGACGGUACCCGCAGAAUAAGCCCCGGCUAACUUCGUGCCAGCAGCCGCGGUAAUACGAAGGGGGCUAGCGUUGUUCGGAAUCACUGGGCGUAAAGCGCGCGUAGGCGGACUUUCAAGUCAGGGGUGAAAUCCCGGGGCUCAACCUCGGAACUGCCUUUGAUACUGUUGGUCUCGAGUCCGAUAGAGGUGGGUGGAAUUCCUAGUGUAGAGGUGAAAUUCGUAGAUAUUAGGAAGAACACCGGUGGCGAAUGCGGCCCACUGGAUCGGUACUGACGCUGAGGUGCGAAAGCGUGGGGAGCAAAC
rnacentral:rRNA from 1 species